ensembl:ncRNA T06E4.16 ncRNA
AGAUGAUCAAAGAAUUGAGAUCACUACACAAACCAGUUGAGAAUUCUUCCAGAUCUAUGACCUAAUCGGGCGAUUUUUCAAUAUCAAAUCAGAAAUAACAAACAGAUAUGGAGGAGUGUGAGAAGGAGAGAAAG